rnacentral:rRNA from 1 species
GCGUGAGUGAUGAAGGCCUUCGGGUUGUAAAGCUCUUUCGCACGCGACGAUGAUGACGGUAGCGUGAGAAGAAGCCCCGGCUAACUUCGUGCCAGCAGCCGCGGUAAUACGAAGGGGGCUAGCGUUGUUCGGAUUUACUGGGCGUAAAGCGCACGCAGGCGGUCUUUUUAGUCAGAAGUGAAAGUCCUGGGCUCAACCUGGGGAUUGCUUUUGAUACUGGAAGACUAGGGUUCGCGAGAGGAUGGCGGAAUUCCCAGUGUAGAGGUGAAAUUCGU